rnacentral:rRNA from 1 species
CGGGUAGAGUAAUGCGUGACCAACCUGCCCCAUGCUCCAGAAUAGCUCUUGGAAACGGGUGGUAAUGCUGGAUGCUCCAACUUGACGCAUGUCUUGUUGGGAAAGUGUUUAGUGGCAUGGGAUGGGGUCGCGUCCUAUCAGCUUGUAGGCGGGGUAAUGGCCCACCUAGGCUUCGACGGGCAGCCGGCCUGAGAGGGCGGACGGCCACAUUGGGACUGAGAUACGGCCCAGACUCCUACGGGAGGCAGCAGCC